rnacentral:lncRNA from 1 species
AACGACUUCCAUUUCAUUUCUACUAGCAAUUUUAUUCAUAAUUUUUUUAAAAAAUAUUACAAGUUUUAUACAUCUUUGCCAAAUAUGAAUAUUUCUAAUUCAAUUCCCCAUUAUCAAACUCCACCUACAACCUAUCUACGGAGCCUCUAAAUACAACUGAAGAAUAAUAUGGAAAUGCCGGCAACAAGGCUUCGGUUAUACCUCAAAUACAAUGUACAUGAUAAAUAGAUGAAACAGGACCCCGAAAUGAAGUGAGGCUCACCAAGUCAGCUGAAAGGAUGAUGUGGCAUUAGCUGCGACCAAUAGUGCCUGCUAUAGAAACACCUACAUCCAUUUAAAGACGUAGCGCCCCCGACAAAAGGGACGUUUGUGCCAUCGAAUAGCACUAGUAUGUAUCACUAAAUACCAUCUCAUUAGAAAGAACAACCAUAUAAGGACAAAGAAAUCAUAACGAUUUAACAAAAGUUUUAAACAAACACUACAUCAUCAAAUAAAAGGAAUCACAUAGCUUUCACAUAAUUUCCAUAGCUUUAGUUUGGGGAUUUUAAUACUGUUCAUCAUCAUUCACAAUACAACCGCUUUCUUGAGCGGAGUCCGAUCACGGCCCGAUUGGCUAAGCCGUCUUACAAGACGUUACCCUUAUUUCAGUCUCACUUUCCAUUUUCAAUUAUAAUUGCAUUACCACCAUGUGUGUAUAAUAUGGCGUCCGAUCACUGCCCGAUGGCUAAGAUGUCUCACCAAGACGUUACCCUUUUCCAUUAACCAUCUCACUUCAAUCUUUGGUUUCACAUGUAUUAGUUCAUCGGCACUAGAGGCCACAAUUAUCACAUCAUACUUGGCACUAGGCCAUAUUUCAUAACUCUCAUUGCGCAUCACUUUCACUUUCAACAUCAAACUUAUAAUUUAAGAUAAUUGGCACAUACAAGAGCAAUUCAAGUUAUAAUCAUAGAGAGGAAUUCUCAUGAUUCAGCAUAAUAAUCACAAUAUAACUUGACUUGAAAUCUAGGCAGUUUAGCGUAUAGUUCACAUUCUUCACAUAUCCCCAAUUACCAAGAAUAACACAUUGAACAUAUUGGUAUCACACCUCCUUUUUUUCUACCCCGGAAAGGUAUAAGGGAGUUUUUUUCCAACUUAAAGUGACAAUCGAAACGGGAUCAUUUUCUUUAAAGAUUCAGAGUUGCCACUUGGGAUAAUUGUAUGGUAUCUCAAGUCAUCGGUUCAAAUCCUGAAUCGAGGAAAAGAUUGACUCUGUUUUACAGUAUGCGAACAUAGAGAUCCGGGUAAGGAAUUCUAUUAACCCGGGAAAAGGUGUUAAGCAUUUCCGGAUUCCGUGGUUCUAGCAAGGUCGCUCAACUGUUAUAAUUGGCCCACUAUCUGAUUUUAAUACAUGUUUUAACAUAUGGUACAAUUUUUACUUUAUACCCGCUUUUAUUCCAUUAUCAUUUUUAGGGAAAUAUUCAACGUCAUAUAAAACACGUCUUGAACCACGUCACAUAAAUGCACCCGCGGUCUACGAUACAUUUCAUCUAAUGUUGUUGAGAUUUGGAUUUGGGUCACAUAAAUGCACACCCGAGUUUUAGAAAUUAAGUUUCUUAACCACGUCACGGGAACCAUACCCAUAGCUACGAUAAAUUAUUUAAUUAACGCGCCUAAAGCAAGCUACGAUAUUCAUAAGUAGUUUAUAAAUGAUGGGCUAUUAGUGGGACCUAACAAAAAACUUCCCAUUUUGUUAAUUAAUCUUCACCAAACCGAAUCCCAUGAACCCAAAAUAUAAUGGCUCUUUUAAUUAGUGCUAAAAUACAAUGGCUUGUAUCCUGCAAUCACAUAAUGGAAAAGUUAUUUAUUUUCAUUCUAAAAAUUACUAUAUGGGCCCAUAAGAAAUUAAAUCUCACCGCAAAAUUAUAUUCCAAAAUUUUCCCUACCUAACAUGUACAAAUUAAACAACAAAGUAAAAUGAUGAAAUCAACCAAACCAACCUUUCAUUAAUUCAUUAAUCACUCUCACUAUUCCGAUAUACUAAAUUAAUAACGAAAUGACAAUAGACCAAACCCAUUCAUUAUACUAUGGACAAAAAUUUUCAUAGUAAACCAUGGAAACACAAGAGAUGAGCAAGUAUAAUUUUAAAUAACCAUUUAUCAUGCUAGUUUAGAAUAAACAAUAAUAGGCAUACAUCCAAAAGUUUAGCAUAAGAUUUAAUAUUAAUAUUAUAUCCCAACAACUCAAGACCAGUUCAUUUUUCAUGUUCCAAAUUGAAAAGGCAGCGAUUCAAACAUAGCAAAUCCUUAUACAAAUUCAGGUUUCCCUUAAAGCUUUAAAAAGAACAUACAUGGAUUUCCAAGCAGAGACCAAAUGAAGAUGUCAAAUUCUGAAACAGAACCAUGAACUACGAAUGAAACUAAUGAACAGACGAUCUCGUCGGACUCGAACUUGAACCGGCGACUGACCUGGACCUCAACCUCAGUUUCCCAUUUUCCUACUCUAUUUUUCUAGCUAUCGUGCAUGUGUUUGUGAUCUUUUGAGAAGAAGAGAAGGUUGGUUUCCUUUUUUUCUAAUGAGAGAACGAGAGCUUUCAAAAAUUGGGGGUGCCGCUAGCUUUUAAAAUCUGAAGAGGAAGCUUCUUCAAGUUCUGUCUAAAUAGGAACCAUAAAAUACACUUCCUAUUCACAAAUGCCCCUUCCCAUUUU